rnacentral:lncRNA from 1 species
AAAAAAGCAUUAUCAAGAUGCGUGUAAAGUAGUCAUAUAUGGGAAGUCUCAUUGGCUUGUCCUUUAAAACAAGGUCCUAUUGACAGAAGAGCGUUGUAGGUCUUCACGUGGCUCUAGAAUGGAAUUUGCUGUGUCCUGAAUGGAUUCAGUGAUGAACCGGUAAAGAAACAAAAGAGUAGGAAGGUUUUGCCUGUAGAAAACUUGAAAACAGAGCGAGGGUGAUUGGGUGUUUAGGAAAGAUCUUCGGCUUUUGUGACUGGUAAAGAGAUAGGGUUAACUCUCUGGAGAACAUGGAGAGUUUCCCAGCUCCGCGUGCCUGCAUCCCACACGGGAAACCUGGCUGCUCCAGGUCCGCGUCUUGUCUGUUAACUGAAGCUCUCUAGAAAUGAAGGCUGUCCUGUGAUCCCAAGCUGCUCAGGAUGGUGUGCUGAUCGAGAAUUCCACCUGAUUGGAGGCGAGUGUGAGCAUCUCUCUGCUGCAUCUCACUACCCCGUACAC